UCGUACACUAGCCAUAUCAGAUGUAGCAUUUGCUGCCACCCAUUCGGACACGUGGUAAUCCGCGCCAUGUUCCUCUUUGCGGACAGGAGUUAAGCAGAUUCUCCCGGGUUGUGUGUCCGACGCUGAAAAUCAUCAGCCGAUUUUUAGCGCCAACACGGUCUAAAUUAGGUGAUACAGUGAAAAAUCUUAAAUCGGUAAACAAAU
rnacentral:lncRNA from 1 species